AACAACAGUCAACAGUUGUUAACAAAUAACGAUGACAACGAGCAACAACGUGCAAAACCCGACCCCCAGACCCGAUUUCGUCACUAACUCAAUACACAAACGACGUAACAGCGACAACCUCAACAACAGCGUACAAUUUCAAUGCUGUAACCACAAGCAGCCAACAACGACGGUAGCACCACAUCAAUAACGACAAAAUUCCAGACGUCUCAUUUACUAUUUUGCCUUGUCAGAUAGUCUUUUAUGGAUAAAAUGCAGAAUGCUCUCAUCUUUUCAGUUGGUGGUUCAUCAAUUUGGGGAAAAAAUCAAUUCACCUCCUUUGACCAAGCAAAGUAACGACUCUUUCCUCCUUCUCUCCACUGAUUUUUGAGUACAAAAUAUGGCCUUUGUCUCACUAUGGAUGUGAAACUUUUUUAAGAAUUGGUUGAAAUUUUAGAUUUGAAAUCCAUCCUUUUUUCAAAAUUCGAAACCCAUUUUCUCCCCCAAUUUAUCUUAUAAAUAGUGGUUGAAGGAUACGGGAAAAGAGGAGGAAUUUUAGGAAAAAAAAGGGUGUUCUGGAGACGCGUGUCUCUAACCUCACGCAACCAAAAAUCCGGAAAGAAAACUCGAAAAAUCAAUUUCCAACGAAUUCAGUUGAACACUAUUGAUUUUGGAAUCUAGUUUUGGCCGUGGUGAAGGUUUCAUCCUUGAAAAACUCGUAAUCCCAUUCGCUGCCCGGGAAAAAGGUUAACACAUCUUCCUUUUUUCUUUUAGUUGAUUGUUCUUCACCGUCUUCUUUAUAGACUUCUCUCGUUAUCAUAAUGGCUGAGACUGUUUAGUUGAUUGUUCUUCACCGUCUUCUUUAUAGACUUCUCUCGUUAUCAUAAUGGCUGAGACUGUUUGCUGUAGGAACUUAGGAUUUUCUUAUAUUUUUUGUCGAUUUGGUGGCUGUGUUCCUGUAGUUCCUAGGCUGCAUCUUAUUAUGUUUCGUUAUUUGUGUUGUUUGGUGGUAUGUCAGAUUUUGAAAUUAUUUAUUCUUUUUCUUGUUUGUUGCGGGAAUGAAAAUUCACUCAACAAGUUAAACUUCUGUGUGGAUUUCUUGAUUUUGUUAAUAAGUAUAUUUUGUCAAAGAGAAAAUUUGCCUUUUUGUUUCUCUGUAUUGCUUGGAAAACAGUGGCUCGGAAGUCGAUUUUCCUUUUUCCAUUGCUUUCCAUAUUGGUUAUUAGUGUUUACGGAUGUACCAAAUAAAUUUUACUUCCUUAGAUUUGCCUUGUCAUUGGUUUUGUUAUUUGAAAUAGAAUAAUGUCUCUCUAAAGUUGGCACGAUUAAUUCAUUCUCUUGCAAAUAAUUCAUUGUGCUGCAUUUGAUCCAUCUUCUACGUGCACGUUGCAAUUGCCGUUUAAAAUUCGAUAUUGUCUUGAAAUUUCUAAACUCUUUUACUCCAUACAAAUUAAUUCUAGAGUUAAUAGUGGACAUAUAUUAAUAACAAUUUUUUAAGUGUUGCUUUCUUAACUAGUUAUAUUAGUACUAUUUGAAUAAAUUCCAAUCUUUAUAUUUUCUUGAUGCACGUGACACCGACUUGAGUCUCAGCGGACUCCAUUUCCUACAUUUCUCGAUGGACUAGGCCUACAUCUUCUACAAGUUCCAAAUGCCUUCAUUUUUGAAGGAACGAGGCUGGUAUACAUUUGUAUAAGCCUGAUAUAUGAGGUUUACAGGUUAAAAGUGGCUGAUAUAAGUCAAGAGAUGACUUAUGGUAAAGCUAGCAAGAAUAAAAGGUUUUCCAUGCUGUUAUACAGCGUAUAUACAGAAAAAAUGCAGUAAAACGAGGCUGAUAUACAGUCAGUAUACAGCUGGUAUACAACUGCAGAAAUGGACCAAAAGUCCAUAAAGAAUGAGCCCAAAAGUUUUCUAGAUUUGGAAAAGGCCCAUCUUUUAAUUCUUCUUAUUCAUCUCCUUGUAAAUCCUAUUUGAUAAUAUGUUUGCCUUAAAUUAUUAAUUUGGUUAACUUUUAUAAAUCCCCUUCGAAUCAUUAUUUUUGUUUAUCUCUGUAUUUUUCCUUUGUUAUUUUAUAGCGUAAUAUUCGAAAUUAAUAAAAAUAUAUCUUUCUUUAUGUUUUUUCUUAAAAUAAUUUUUUCUAAAAAAAAUAAUCAAAUGACAUUUUAUUUUAUCAACGUGUCAAAGUAGUUCAUUUAAGUUAAAAAGAAUUCUCAUCGACCUAAAAUCAAUUUCCUUUGCAAAAAAUAAAAAUAUUUUCACUAAUUAGUCAAGGCUCAUAAUUUGUUUAAAUUGAUAUUUUUCUUUAAAGACAAAUAUUUUUUUAAUCAAAAAUGAUAUGUAAAAAUCACUUUAUUUCUCCCUUUUAUUUGAAAGAAUAAUUUAUGAAAAAAACGGGUUUAGCUCAACCUUCUUUAUAGGAAAUUUUCUCAAGUUAAAUUGGACUAAUUUUCACUUGGUUGACAAAUGUCAUUUUAAGUCUUCAAAAAAUAGUUAAAGGUAAUAUUUUUUAUAAAAUCAAGUCUUCGUAAAAAUUAGCCACGUUUAGUUAGUCAAGUUAGUUCUUUUUGGUAAAUCGUUUUAAACGGACGCUCCUAAGUGCCUUAAAAACCUUCUUAGAGUGUUAAUUGAACCCUUAUCCAGUUCUCUGGUUUUAAAGGCUUAUUUCUGUUAUUGAGCCUUUGAAACUCUUUUUAAGUUUUUUCGUGAUUUUUUCUAUAAAAAUUAAGUGGCGACUCUAUGAAUUUCUUAAAAUUAUUUUGAAUUUUUUUUGAAUCUUUCUCGUCAAAUGAAUCCGUAAAGAAUAAAACAAAGUUUAAGGAGGGUAGGGUUCAAAAGAGGGAUAAAAAUUGAAUGGCUUACGACUUGUGAUGUGUUUGCCAAAGAAAGGUCAAAAGGCUCAAAGUGGGUGACUAGGGAUAACAUUUAUGCGAGGGUAGACUUUUUAGGCUAGAGUGGACUUUCAAUAUCGCAAAGAUGGCCUAGGAUCAUCUCACCAACCAAGUACAAUCAAAAUUAGUCUUGAUAUACUAAUGGGGCAAGUUCUAGAUGGUACAAGUAUACAUGAGAUUUAAACAAAUAAGUUCACCGCACAUGGCAUACAAAUUCGCCAAGGAGGUUCAAUUGCCCCUCCCGUUAGAGACAAAAAUAGAGUACUUACCAAUUUUCACAAGCCAAAAUUUUGGAGUCAUAAAAAGAGAAAAAGUAUUGAUACAAGAUCGCUCAUGUCUGUACCCUUGAUUUUUGGAAAAAAAAUUAGACGGAGGGGGGUGUUUGCUUUCCAUUUGCACCACAUAUAAUUUGCUAAUUAUGGAACCAACAUAAGCCUUCGUCUCACAUGUUGGCUUUCAUACGGGCAAACCAUAUGGAUACUCAGACUUCGCCAUAGGUAUAAUUAGAUCCCAAAUUCAAAAUGCUACAGGUACUCAGAUUUUUCUUGCAUUUAUUACCUCGAUGCUACGGAUACUCAGACUUCCCCUACAUUCAUGGCUCGAAACUCAAUUACAAUGCUUUUCCCUUAAGAAUGUCCUCACUCAAUCUAUCAUAGGAAAAAGCUAGUCCGAUAUCACCAUAACCAAAAUAAAGAUAAAGUAAAAAUGUAAAAACAAACUAAACAACUAAUCCAUGAAACAUGGGCACCAGCAGAGUGCCCAAAAAAUGCAACCCAGAAACAAAAAAUUAAAAAUCAUCCAAAAAGUCAUCAAAACAUCCAAAAAUAUCUAAAUAAUAUAGAUCCGGGGGCAGGCACCCCCUACUGAAAAGCUAGCAGUGUCCUCACUGCAUAAGUAAUAGAGCAUAAAAUAGAGAUAAGGGUGCUCUCUAAAACUGCAUCAGGAGCUGCUUUCGCUUGCGGACUUGCAUCAUCUCAAUCAGCAUCAGCACCGGACUACUCAGUAGGGGCCUCAUCAUCGCUGUCCAUCCUGGGAGAAGGUAGUCUGUCUCAGAAUAUUAGCACUUUCCACAGGCCCUUUACCUCUUUCUACAUCUUACUGAAAAACUUAUCUUUCUUCUUCUCCCUUUUCUUUAUCUUCUCGUGGGAGUCCCGAAGCUUCCUGUGAUACUCUGCCAACGCUGAGUAUGCCCUUUUGAGCCUAGAAAUGGUGGCUUCUUGAGUCUGUUGGUCCUUUGGAUACUUCUCUUAAUUUGAUCGGGACACAAAUGAGUAGCGGGUGGUGGAGGGCUCUCUUUGCCUCUGGGGCAAUACUGACACAAGCCCCUUGAUGACCCUAAUAUCAACACCAAUAUCUUCAAGAGGCCCAACAGUGAAUGGCCUACAUGACUCUGACUUCUCACAUGUCGACUUUCUCAAGUCGAUCUUUCUAUUUUUCCUUUUUCUCGGUGCACCUUAACCCCAAAUUUUGAGAGGAUAAAUAGGGGUUCAGGGCGCACCCAAGUAUCUCCUGGGUAUUCCGCAACCCCAACUCUCCUGAAUAGCUCAGUGAUCAAAGAAUGGAAUAAGAGAUACAUACCACCAGGGUUUCUGAAGAACUGCAUAUCAGAUAUUACCAACAGAUAUCAUCUGACGACCAACAUUUAAAGAAAAGUUGUCGAGUAUGCAGGGAACCAUAUGGGAACGCAAAUCUGUAGUUGCAGUCAAAUGAAUGCAAGGAGAGAUCCGGCUGCAAAUGAUAUUCAGCUAUAUUCGGGCCUCAGUAGUGAAGUCAUUCAUCGAGAUGCCCCUUUUGGUUGCCACCUACAAGACCUCCUUGACUGGGCACAACCUCUCUACCAUCUAGCUUCCCGGCUCACACCCCUUAGCUUCAAUGUCAACUAUGUCUACAUUUGGGAGCCCAUAUAGAUCAUUGAUUUGUUCCACCUCAAAUUACACAUUCCUCCCCAAAUCCUGAUAACUGGGUUUUUAAAAGAUACUAUACUAAGAUUAGCGUAGAACUCUCGCACCCAUUGCUGAUGUGCCCGGCAAGGAUCCAGAGCAAAACAUCUCCACCUAUUAUCCACGAGCCUAUCAUGCAAUGCUGAAAGAUUUUUCGACACCUUCUCCAAACAUAUACUCCUUUCGGGAAGCAACUUUGUCCUUAGAAACUCAUCGUAGUAUUGGUUGUGGCACUUGGGAGUCAUGAAUCAAAUUUGGUCAUAAUUCUCAAUAAUGUAAACCUAAAAAACAUGAGUACAACAAAAAUAUUUAUCAUCAAUAUUUUCAUGCUUAAACUAGACUAUUUUGUCUUAUAAAACUCAUGGGAUGGGUACUUGGUGGUGUUUGACCAAAAAAUCAAAGUGCAGAAAUUUUGGCCUAGGCUGAGAUUCAGCCUUAGUUAUGGCGAUCACAAGCCACUGAGUUGUGAUUAUGGUGCCGCGAUCGUGACUCGAUAACUGUGAUCACUGGUUCCGCAAUCAUGAUCCCGUGACCGCAAUUAAGGUAACUAAGGCUAGAUUGGGCUAGAUUUUCAAAAGCUUCACAAUCCAAUUUUAAGGCCAAAAUAUGUUUGAAAACAACAGUUAAUCAAUAAGCAUAUCAAACAAAACUUCUAAGUUCUUAAUCAUGCCCUCACGAUGUGAAAAUAAUGAGUUAUAGACUCUUUUGGGCAUUUGAUCGGGCACUUGGUGUGCUCUCUAUACUUUACUCAAAUUCACACAUUUUUUGGAUACUCAAGAUUUUCCCACAUGUAUGCACACUAUUUUUAACAGCUUCACCACACAAGUAAGAUUUAACAAGAAUUUAGCAAGGAAAAACAUAGUUUUAGGCCCUACCUAGUUCAUGCACUCUAAGGCCUACUCACAAUAAUUAAAAACAUGAAUUUAAAGCACUUACCGGAAGAGUGAUGCAAGAUGGAUGCAAAGAUGCUUUUGAAAUGCUCAAAAUAUAGACAGGAACAUGUGUAAUUUGAGAGAAAAGUUGGAGGGGGAAUGUGAGGUAAAUAGGAGACCGGUGGUCUUUUAAACCAUGUCUGGCUGCGAUCGCGGUCAAGGUUCGCGAUCGUUGACAAGCGGAUGAUCGUGAUUGCGACAAAGACCCAACAAUCGUGUUAACAGAGGGCAUUUCUACACCUCUAUUUUCCCCUGUUCAGUCCAACAUGCAAAAAUCCCACUCUUACCCUCUUUCAAACUUAUUCAAUGCACUCUAAAGUGCCAUAAAUGCAUGGAUUAAUCAAUGACAAAAUUAAAAUCUACACUACCAAGUUAAAAAGAAAGGAUACGGGCCACUUUAUGGCGUGAUGGGUUGAUUCCCAUCGAGUGCCAAAUUUUAAUGUCGUGGCACGACACACCUUUUCAAGUAUCAUUUAUGUCUCUACUUAGAAGAUUUAAACUGACGUCCCAUCUUGCAACCAUUAUGUUUUGAGCGAAAGUCGGACAAAAGAUUCAAAUAUUCCAAAAUGAGACGAAAUAAAGUUGAGGAGGUAUUGAUGACUUCUCUAUCUCGCCACUUUGAAGACUUGAAUCGUUUACCCAACUUUACAUCAAACUCUCGAGUAGGCUCAUUGGGUAUUAGUAAGAACAUCAAAAGACUACUAGUUGAAUAUUAGAUUUUCAGCUUUCUUGUCUUCAAAUGAGGGACGUCAUCUCUCCCUUUUAAGAUGACAAACUCCAAAAUAUAAGAAUUUUGUACCCCAUUUCUCAAAUUCGCCAUUUGCUUGGGUGUCUUAACUUUCAUCACAUCCAGCAAGCAUAAUGUUUAAAAAUGAUUAGAAUGAGGUCGUUGUCCCAAUUCUGGAUUCGCAUUCAUCUUGAAAUUCUCAUCCGAAAAUGAACUAAGCCCUCACAAUGGAUUUGCUUAGCUUCUUCUUUGGACUCUAGUACCAAUUCCUUUACUGUGGCAUCCUUUAUUAGUUUUUGUUUGUUUGGUUGGCAAAUCACCAAGGAUUCUUCACUAUCAAGCUCAUAAUCAAGCUCAUGGCUUGAUAUCUUUUCUUUAUCAUCCUUAUUUUGAAGAUUGGGCAUAUACAUGACACUUGAAAGAUUGGUCUCCUCACCCACUUCUUAUUUUUCACUGUCCAUUCCAAAUGCCAUCAUGGGUUGAUUCUAGUGAUGCUGUCCUCCUUCAUUGUAGUCACUCGAUCCAUGAGAUUUAGAAGCAUUGCUGCAACAGGAUUGUAUCCGACAUGUUGUUCUUCCUUUAUCACAUCAUGAGACCUAUCAAAAUCAUAAGAACUAACAUUUUUGUUAGCAUAACUAGGGGAGGGGACAUUUGGACAAUCACUCCAAUGUCCAUCUUGACCACUACAGAAAGAACAAUUUUACUCCUUAUAGUAUUGAGAUGGUGCACACACAUUUUUUCGGGGAGCAUAUUUACAAUCUUGACAAAAGUGGGGUCCACCACAAUAUGGACAUGAAUCAUCAAGAUAAAAUUUGCAACCACCAAACUCAUAUUCAUUUCAAGAUGUCAUAGUAAUAAGCAAGUGAAAAUAAAAAUCUACCUAACACAAGAAACAAAAGAAAAUCACAAACAAAUAUUUACUAGUUUGAAUUCAAGAAACUAAGGUAAAAUUCAAACUAACUCAAUACGUCAAAUUAUUCUCCGACAAUGACGUCAUUUUUGAUAACACUGAACUCACACGUCAAUUUAAGUGCAAAGAGAUCAUUGUCAGUAUAUUACUCAACUUUGAGUCGGGAUCAAAUCCACGAGGAAUAAUGUAACUGAUGAUUGAGUAAGUUCAAAGUGAAAGUUAUUUGCUAAAUUCAAACCUAGGAUACAAGUAGUUUGGGAGAUGUUAAGAGAAUUCAAAAAGAUAACAAAUUGGAUUUCUAACUGACUAAUUUGAGGUUGAGAAUAAUUAGAGCGUAAUCAAUUAGGAACAGAUCUUGGGGCUAUGGUUUACUAGGGACAACUAGUGUGCGGGUACAUGAAAAUCAACUCCAAAUCUUAGCUAAAGUAUGCGUGGGUAGGCUCAGUUAGGGAUUUUGAUACCAUCCAUUCAAUAAAGUACCAAACUAUCAGCUAAGGAUUCUUUCGAAUACCUCGUGGGUGUGGUCAACCAAUCGUUACCAAACCUCAAUUGGGCAUUCCUAUUUCUAAGAAAAUGCCCAAAAUAUAACAAUUCCACAUUUUAUCCUUAUUUCUAAGACAAUAAAAAAAGAGUAACUAUUAUCUAUCUUAUUAUUCACAAAUCCUCAUGUUACCCACAUCCCUCUUUCAAGGAUGGCGUGGUGUUUAGAGAUAUUAAGACUUUCACCAACAAAUUCCAUUUUGCGCCCUAUUCAAUCAAGAAUUUAAGCUAACAAUCACAACCCACACACAUUUGCGCCCUAUUCAAACAUAACCCCAAGAGGGAGAACUAACUACUCAUAAGGAUAAUAAAUAAAGACAUACCAAAAUCUCCAUCAAAUAGAUUCAUGAAAGAUAAAGAAGAUGCGAAUUCAAACUUUAAGUUUCAAUAAAUCUUAAGUGGAAAAUGCUAAUCCUUCACUUAGAAGUUACUCUAAUGUAUUCUUCACCCUAUACUGGAAGAGAUUUCCAAAAAUUGGGAAUUUUUCUCUAUGAGAGAGGGUUUGGUCUCUUAAGGAAAUUGGGGACGGCUGUUGUGAAAUUACAAAACUGCCGCGUUGCCACGAUUGCUGACAUUUGUCCGUAAUCGUGGAUGCUGCAUCCGCGGUUAAAAACUCGCGAUCGCGCUUCUUUAACCUAGCAUUACUGGCUGCGAUCAUGGUCUGAGGACGACGAUCGCGGUAAUUGAGGCUGGUUUCUGCUUCAAGUCUUCUAGCUGUACUUCUUUUCUUCUUUUUGAUCCUUUUUAGCUUUAAUCCACAUCUUUCCAUCUCAUUUUUUGAUCCUUUUUAGCUUUAAUCCAUAUCUUUCCAUCUCAUAACUUGUCUGUCUGCAAAAUGUAAAAAUUAGUGCAUUUAAUCGCAAAUAUGUCUCAUUUAUACAUUCAAUUCAUAGUAGCGGGCAAGAAUGUUGAGUGCAAAUGAGUGGUAAAUUUGCCAUUCAUCAUCCACCAUUUUCACCAUCUUUGAAGCUUGAUAACUCGAAUUUGAGCAUUUUCAAAGAAAUUUUUGAGAUUUUCUUCAUGGGUAUGUUUCUAAACAUUGUAUUAUUAUUUUUCACGGAUUUCACUAUCAAUUUACCUUUAAAUCUUCAAUUCUAAAUUUUAUUUUGCAAUUUUCAUGAUAAAGUUUAAAAAUAAUAUUUUUUCAAUUUGGACCUCAUUUUUAAUUUAUUUUUACAUGAAUUUUCAGUUUUAGGUUCCUAAUGUAAUAAAAAUGUGUUUGCAAAAAUAAACUUUCAGUUUAAUCCUUUUUUAUUCGGGAUUAAUUUUUGCAUUUUUUGUAAAUUCGAAAUAAAUAUAGUUGGUGUGAGUAUCAUUGAGCCCUUUUUUGACUUAUAAAUGUCAUAUUUGAUUGGAUUGGACGCAUUUGGUGUUGAUUCAAGAGAGUUGGGAUUUCAAUUGAGGUUUUAGACUACAUUUGAAUUUGCGGAUCUUAAUUUAAGGCAUGCUAAGAUGUUCAUUGACUUUUUUCCGAAGUGUUUAUGUAUUGUAUGUUUGUUUAAUUUUUUUUUUUUGUGUAUCGCUUAGGAUUGUGGGUCCCACUUAGGUGAAAUGACGAGCAUCCCCUUGGAUACCGGAGUCUUUGAUGGAUUGUCGUUGGAUUAUUACCUUGAUUACUUAGUACUACUAUUAUUAAAUAUUCUUAGAUUGAAAUGUAGAUAGAUAACCUAGUGAUUCUCAAAUAAUGAAGAAUGGAUUGUCAUUUUAGAGCUUGAAUCUUGUUAGCGAACUUUAUUUGGAUGAUAGUGGGUUAGUGCCUUGUUAGGGGAUAAUUAUGUUAUUAUCAUCAUUAUUUUGAUGGAAUGAUUGAAUAUUUAGAGAAUACUUAGAGUAUGAAUAUACUUGUAAUAGCUGAUGAGAGUUAAUGAAUGGGCCAAGUUAGGUUUGGGUAGUCCGCAAUUUAUUAUAAUUGAGAUUGUUAUUUAUUUUGUGAUGCUCGUGUCGGGCUUAUGUGAACUUCAUUAUGGACUUGAGUAGUUAUUUGUGAUUGUAUAUCCGGGUAGGGGCUUAUAUGCAUAUUGCUUUUAAUUUGAGAGGAUAUACUAUUGUGAUGCUCGAGUGGGGGCUUGACUUGAUGUUGUUAGUCAUGUUUUGUUCAUUAAAUGACUAAUUUAUUAUUGCAUCUUUCGAGUGGAGGCUUGAUUUGACAUUGUAGUCCUUAUAUGAGUAUUUAAUUGCAUAUUCAUUACAGUGAUGUCCGACUGAGGAGUUGGGAGUGAUAAUAUUAAUGACCACAUGACUAUUUAUUUUGGUGGUGCCAAGUGGAGGAACGGAAUGAAGAAUAGAAGGAAUAUGGAUCAUAUCUUUAAUCAUUAGAUAUUAGUCAUUUGAGGAUGAUUUGUGUUUAGGAUAGAGAUAUAUCUAAACACUCCACGUGAUUAAUGAAACGAGAAUAUUGCUUAAUGCAUCUAUAUUAAAGACUCACUUCCUCGCUCAAUAAUGUAAUUUUGAAACUAAUUUGGAUAGAUAACUUAGAGGAUGAUCAUUCUCAAGUAAUAAUAUCAACCCCAUAAAUCAGUAACCACGAUAAACACCAACAUCAACUAAGUAGAAUUAGCUGUUAAUGGUUCAAUUAGCUGUUAUAGAGAGAUAAUUUUACAAAGAGUGUACUGCUGUAAUAAACAUCAUUACUGUUAUAGGUAGAAUUUCGUUAUAGAGAAGUAAAAUAUAACAAAAAAAUUAAUUUCGGAGAAAAU
rnacentral:lncRNA from 1 species